rnacentral:tRNA from 1 species
GGACAGAUGACCGAGAGGCUUAAGGUGUUCCUUUGCUAAAGGAGAGUGCAGUUAAUCCUGCACCAAGGGUUCGAAUCCCUUUCUGUCCG